UACAGAGGUCUCAAGCGUUGUUCGGAUUUAUUGGGCGUAAAGGGCGCGUAGGCGGCGGGUAAGUCGGGUGUGAAAUCUCAGGGCUCAACCCUGAAACUGCACUUGAUACUGCUCUGCUUGAGGACUGGAGAGGAGACUGGAAUUCACGGUGUAGCAGUGAAAUGCGUAGAUAUCGUGAGGAAGACCAGUGGCGAAGGCGGGUCUCUGGACAGUUCC
rnacentral:rRNA from 1 species